UUUGCUGCAUGAAAUUAGAGAGUAGACUAACAGGCAUCGGAGGGCUUUCUCGCGCAUUACGGUAGCCUGAGUGAAAAACUUCAGUAAAUUUAACCUCCGCGUAUUUCCGGCAUAUGGCAGCAUCAACUAAAUAGCCCGCCGCAGUACAUAACACUCUCAACUGACUCUGAUUUUAUCAGCUCCCAUCGAAUUGGUUAUUGGUUGGUGCAACCCUUCCAUAUCUCCAUCAGGUUUUGUUGCAGUUAUCUGUAUCUGUUACCGAACGACUAGACAACCUCCCGUGCUGCUAAUUUGCAAGAGAAAAGUUGGAGCAUUCCAAAAUGCCGCUUUAAACACCGCUGUGAACUCGUCCACAAUAAACCUUUGCGAUGUUUCCCCACGCUCGACCACCAGCGUACCACUUACCGUAAUUUCAAGCCUUGUCUUAGCAUGUAAAGCUGCAGGUUCAAUCUCUUUACGAACCGUAAGGAGGAAAAGUACUUGCGAAUCCUGCGGAUUAGUGCUAUCGGUCAGUUUCAAUGGAGUGACGUCUAAGCUUAAUGAAAACUGCGUUAGUUGAUGUACAAAGUAAAAUGCGUAGCCGGUACUGUGCAGUUUGUUGUGUGGUGGAAUGUUUUGAGGAACACGGAAAAUUCCGGAAAUUCUUCAUCUUAGUCAUGACCUCUUGUGUUUUGCAAUAAUUUCGCGUGGCGGAUCGGGAUCAUUAUUCCUUUGUUGGAUGUCGAGGAAAAUGUCCGGUGCAUGUAGAGAUCCCUACCGCAGGAAGUGAUCCCCCUCUGGAAACAUCGAAACUAAAUCUGCUCCAUAUACAAAUCAAUUGCCAGCUUUUCAAUGGGAUCGUUGCCGCCACUUCUUCCAUUAAAAUUAACUUGUCUCGCACAGGUCCAUUGUUUUGCGAUGGCAAAUCCUGC